rnacentral:rRNA from 1 species
ACAAUAAGCAAAAUAAGGGCGUAUGGGGGAUGCCUAGGCUCUCAGAGGCGAAGAAGGACGUGAUAAGCUGCGAAAAGCUGCGGGGAUUGGCACAUACGAAUUGAUCCGCAGAUAUCCCAAUGGGGCAACCCACUAUGUUGAAGACAUAGUAUCCAAUAGGAGGCGAACCCGCUGAACUGAAACAUCUAAGUAGGCGGAGGAGAAGAAAACAAAAGUGAUUGCGUAAGUAGUGGCGAGCGAAAGCGCAUUAGCCCAAACCAGUGUUGUUACGGCAAUACUGGGGUUGUAGGACCACAAUAUUUCUUGUAAACCGAAUUAGAAUAACCUGGAAAGGUUAACCACAGAGGGUGAUAGUCCCGUAUAAGUAAGGAAUAUAAAGGAUAGUGGUAUCCUGAGUAGGGCGGGGCACGUGAAACCCUGUCUGAAUCUGGCGGGACCAUCCGCUAAGGCUAAAUACUCCUGAGAGACCGAUAGUGAACCAGUACUGUGAAGGAAAGGUGAAAAGAACCGUGAAUAACGGAGUGAAAUAGAACCUGAAACCAUACGCCUACAAGCGGUCGGAGCAGCAAAAGCUGUGACGGCGUGCCUUUUGCAUAAUGAGCCUACGAGUUAACGUUGCUGGCAAGGUUAAGCACUUCAGGUGCGGAUCCGUAGCGAAAGCGAGUCUGAAUAGGGCGCUUGAGUCAGUAAUGUUAGACGCGAAACCGUGUGAUCUACCCAUGGGCAGGAUGAAGCUGUGGUAACACAUAGUGGAGGUCCGAACCGGUUGACGUUGAAAAGUCUUCGGAUGACCUGUGGGUAGGGAAGAAAGGCCAAUCAAACUCGGAAAUAGCUCGUACUCCCCGAAAUGCAUUUAGGUGCAGCGCAGUGGUAGAGUUAUAUAGAGGUAGAGCUACUGAUUGGAUGCGGGGGCUUCACCGCCUACCAAUUCCUGACAAACUCCGAAUGCUAUAUAAUAUACACAGCAGUGAGGGCUGGGGUGCUAAGGUCCCAGUCCGAGAGGGAAAGAACCCAGACCAUCAGCUAAGGUCCCCAAAUGUAUACUAAGUUGAUCAAACGCGGUUUGAUUGCAUCGACAGCUAGGAUGUUGGCUUGGAAGCAGCCAUUCAUUUAAAGAGUGCGUAACAGCUCACUAGUCGAGCGAUCGAGCAUGGAUAAUAAUCGGGCAUAAGUAUACUACCGAAGCUAUGGAUUUGACAAAAGUCAAGUGGUAGGGGAGCAUUCUAACAUCGUAGAAGGGAUUCCGUGAGGAUUUCUGGAGAGGUUAGAAAAGAAAAUGUAGGCAUAAGUAACGAUAAGGGGUGCGAGAAACACCCCCGCCGUAAAACUAAGGUUUCCGCAGCUAUGCUAAUCAGCUGCGCCUUAGUCGGGACCUAAGGCAUCUGGAUAGUGUACCUAAAGGCUGCCAAGAAAACCUUCUAAACAUAGAUUAUAAGUACCCGUACCGUAAACCGACACAGGUAGUUGAGGAGAGUAUCCUAAGGCGCUCGAGAGAUUCAUGGCUAAGGAAUUAGGCAAAAUAGACCUUGAUCUUCGGGAGAAAGGWCGCCAGCGCAAGCUGGCCGCAGUGAAAAGGUCCAGGCGACUGUUUAUCAAAAACACAGGGCUCUGCCAAAUCGUAAGAUGAAGUAUAGGGCCUGACACCUGCCGGUGCUGGAAGGUUAAGAGGAGAUGUUAUGAGCAAUCAGAAGCAUUGAAUUGAAGCCCCAGUAAACGGCGGCCGUAACUAUAACGGUCCUAAGGUAGCGAAAUUCCUUGUCGGGUAAGUUCCGACCUGCACGAAUGGUGUAACGAUCUGGACACUGUCUCAGCCAUGAGCUCGGUGAAAUUGUAGUAUCGGUGAAGAUGCCGAUUACCCGCAGUGGGACGAAAAGACCCUGUGCACCUUUACUAUAGCUUAGUAUUGACCUUGGAUAAGUGAUGUGUAGGAUAGGUGGGAGACUGUGAAAUGGCGUCGCUAGGCGUUGUGGAGUCAUUGUUGAAAUACCACCCUUUGCUUAUCUGAGGCCUAACUCCAUAUUGUGGAGGACAUUGCUUGGUGGGUAGUUUGACUGGGGUGGUCGCCUCCAAAAGAGUAACGGAGGCUUCUAAAGGUUCCCUCAGCACGCUUGGUAACCGUGCGUAGAGUGCAAUGGCAUAAGGGAGCUUGACUGAGAGACAUACAGGUCGAUCAGGUACGAAAGUAGAGCAUAGUGAUCCGGUGGUUCCGCAUGGAAGGGCCAUCGCUCAAAGGAUAAAAGGUACGCCGGGGAUAACAGGCUGAUCUCCCCCAAGAGCUCAUAUCGACGGGGGGGUUUGGCACCUCGAUGUCGGCUCGUCACAUCCUGGGGCUGGAGAAGGUCCCAAGGGUUGGGCUGUUCGCCCAUUAAAGUGGCACGCGAGCUGGGUUCAGAACGUCGUGAGACAGUUCGGUCUCUAUCUACUGUGGGCGUUAGAAAUUUGAGUGGAUCUGACUCUAGUACGAGAGGACCGAGUUGGACCAACCGCUGGUGUAUCUGUUGUUCCGCCAGGAGCACCGCAGAGUAGCUACGUUGGGAAGGGAUAAGCGCUGAAAGCAUAUAAGCGCGAAACCCACCACAAGAUGAGAUUUCUUUUAAGGGUCGUGGAAGAUGACCACGUUGAUAGGCUAUAGAUGUAAAGGCAGUAAUGUCACAGUCAAGUAGUACUAAUAACCCGUAAGCUUAUUGUA